UUGACGCAUUUGGUUGAGCAGGGCGGGUCGAGACGUGGUAAAGCAUCAUGAGUGCCUCGUCUAUAAAUAAACCUCGUGAAUUGCUGGGAACUCUUUGGAAUGACUUGUUGGCUACAACGUAACUGGAAACGGUAAGCGUGAAUGCUUGAAAACAACAAGUGGAGAAAGACAAUCAGCAGCCAAGCUCCUUUAACAUGGAGAAGGUUCAACGACCAUCGAAAGCACGCUAAAGCAAGCGGAAGUGAGUAGAGUAGGAAUCAAGUGAUUCCGAAGCGCGGGGACACUCAGGAUUUGAGUGUAAGAUAUGGUCUGGACUCUAAGGUGACUUAGAG
rnacentral:ncRNA from 1 species